AUUGAACGCUGGCGGCAGGCUUAACACAUGCAAGUCGAGCGGAGGGAUGGUGCUUGCACCCUCACUUAGCUGCCAACGGGUGAGUAAGGCCUAGGAAUCUGCCCAUUAGCGGGGGACAACGUGUGGAAACGCACGCUAAUACCGCAUAAGCGCUUCGGGGGAAAGCAGGGGACUCUUUGAGCUUUGCACUAAUGGAUGAGCCUAGGUCAGAUUAGCUAGUUGGUGGGGUAAAGGCCCACCCAGGCGACAAGCUGUAGCGGGUCUUAGAGGAUGGUCCGGCAACCUGGGAACUGGAAACGGUCCAGGCCCCUUCGGGAGGGAGCAGGGGGGAAAAUUGGACAAUGGGCGGAAGGCUGAACCAGCCCUGCCGGGGGUGGUAAGAAGGCCGUUUGGUUGGAAAGGACCUUAAGCGAGGAGGAGGCUUACCUGGUUAAUACCUGGGAUAAGUUGACGUUACUCGCAGAAUAAGCACCGGCUAACUCUGUG
rnacentral:rRNA from 1 species